AAAACAUAAGUUAGAUUUCAUUCUAACAUGACGUCCUUCAAACGCUUUGAGUACACACCCGUGGUAAAAUAUGAAUAUAUUGGUUGGGCUGUUCUGAUUGUACUCCCACGUCAUAUGAUUGUUUAUGGAUGGAGUACACGACGUCAUAGAAUGAUAACGUAAUAGUUUAAGCAUUUUUCGGGAAAAUACACACGCUUCUGAUACCGAAAAUCAUCACCAGAAUGAAACGUAAACAAACAAUACUAAAAUGUGGUAUAAGCCCUUUUUUAUAUACAUAGAAGAUAUAUAAGUAAAUUAUCAUUAAAAUUCAUCCAAAUCUAUCUAAAUAUAUUAUUGUAAAUAGUUUGAGCAUGUCACUAAAUCUGUUUGCUCCGUUCUUUACCGCCAAUCUUAAAGUGGGCAAAUUUAUGGGAACGGCAAAUAUUUGCCUCCAUCUAGUGCGCUUUGAACCAAAACAAUUGCUAUAUUUGUCUUAUCAGAAUCGAAAUAAUUCAUGGGGGCUUGAAUAUAUCUAAAUUUUACCACGGGUUGUCCCUUUAUGCCGAUAUUUUACCCCUCGCUAUCGCUCAGGGUAAAAUAUUUGUCAUAAAGGGCCAACCCGUGGUAAAAUAACGAUAUAUUCAAGCCCCCAUGAAUUAUUUCUUAAUUCUAACAUGACGUCCUUCAAACUCUUUGAGUACACACCCGUGGUAAAAUAUGAAUAUAUUGCCAGUGCUGUUCCGAUUGUACUCCCACGUCAUAUGCUUUUUUAUGAAUGAGAUACCCGACGUCAUAGAACAAUAACGUUAGAAUGUAAGCAUUUUACGGG
rnacentral:lncRNA from 1 species